GUCCGGCUGCAGGGGUUCCAGGCCCCCGCUCCGGCCGGGCGCCGUCGUGUCCGCGGUGCCGGUCCGCGGCUGGUCC
rnacentral:tRNA from 1 species